GUUGUUCCAUAUUUUGUAAAUAAAGUGCUGUUGAGAUUUCAACAACAAUACUUGUAUCAAAAGUCAACACAUCAGUGACCUCAGGUCAUAUAUAUCUUUCAUGGUAAUCUAUUUCUUUAUUUAUUUAUUUUUUAACUUUUUUUAUUCAAAUUUAUCAAAUUAAAGUCAUAACCAGAGUCUUCAACACUUAUUGCAAGGGUUGUGUCAACAAUAUGGUGGGGACAAUACUUGCCACAUUUUGUUGUUUUUCCACAUAAUCCAGUAAGCGUUGGUGGAAUCUUGAUCUUUGAAAAUGUUGGAAAGGACUAUGCUAUGUGUCCAACGAACAAAAAGUGUAAUAUCUUCGGAUGCUGGAAGUUUAAGCCCGUUGGCUUAUACAUUGCUUAGGGUUUUCUGGUUGAAAUUUUGCAAUGCAUCUUUAAUUCAUUAAAUGAACAAUUUAAGGAAAUACGUUUUGGGUCCUUGAAUGCCUAGAUCCACCAUCCAUAAAAUGGACGACCUGCGCUAUUUGAAUAAGGUGGACUCGUUAUGGACCAUUUCUUUGGUAUUUUUUUUUGGCUCAAUAGAAUGAGAUAUUUAGCAUCCAACAACCCCCUUUGGCUUCAACGGGCUUGUGUUACAAUAAAAAGUCCAUUAGCUUGUAGGAUCCUUUGUCAUGGAUCUAUUUGUAUGUAUAUGUGCAUUCACAUGCUUGUGCUUAGGUAUUGUGUUCUAGAUAGAGGAACGCGCCGCCUUGGCUGCCUAGGUGGGUGCCUCAUGGUUGAGUUGUCCCAAUGACCACAUUCGUUUGUGCAUGCAUGUGCGUGCAUGUAUGUAGGCAUGGGUGUGUGCAUGCGUGCAUGUGUAUUUUCACGCGCGUGUGUGGAGAAGGGAGUAUUCAAAUCAAAUUUCAUUGCUUUUUUGCUUUAGGGUUUGGAUUUGAGAUUAUAUAACCUUAUGGAGGUUCCUUCAAAAUGUCCUCUCUCUCUCUCUCUAUGCAUGCAACAUACAUAUAUGCACACACAUACACACAAAUCUCUGUAUAUAUAUGAAAUAGUUUAUAUAAGUUCUCAACCUUAUGCUAUAGAAGUAAGGGCAACAACCCACCAGGAAAGAUUGUUUCGACGCUGGAAAACUAUUUGAUCGAUCACCUCGACCUUGAGAUGUGUGGAUCGUCAUCAUCAUCAUCUGAGUCUUAUCCCAACAAUUUGGGAUCAGCUAGAUAAAUCAUUUUCCGCCAUUCUGCUUUAUCAAGAGUCAUACCCUAUGUCAAACGAUAAGUCACCAUCUCUUUUCCCACUACUUCCAUCUUUGCCAUUUUGGCUUUCCCCUAGAACCAAAUCAGUCGCCCUUCCUAAUCAAUGCUUUAUUAGGUUUACGCUGCACAUGGCUAGCCCACAUCUAGUUUAGUUCGUCUCUUCUUAUCACCUAUUGGAGCCACCCCUAAGUUACGUCAGAUGUAUUCAUUUCGAAUUUUAUCCUUGUUUUGCCACUCAUCAAUCUCAACAUCCUCAUCUCAACUAUGUUCUUCCUAUGGAUAUAUUGUUUUUUGACCGCCUAACAUUCCGUCUCAUAAAGUAUGGCUGGUUUUACAAACAUUUUAUAGAACUUCCCCAUCAGUUUCAUUAAUGUACAACGAUCACAUAAAGUGUUGGAUACACAUCUCCAAUUCGUUCUCUAAAUCUCUCCAUUCUCUUGGAUUAUGGACCUAAGAUAUCAAAAAUAAUCUAUUUUAGGCCUUUCUUGGCCAUCAAUCUUAACGACUUCUUGGUUUCUACUCGUUUUAUUACUAAACUUGUAUUCCUUAUAUUUUGUCUUAGUCCAACUAAUUUGAUAACAUUUUGAUUAUGGAGAAAUCUCCAAAGUUCUAACUUUGCAUUGACACUGCCUCCAAUCUUGUCAAUCAAAACUAUGUCAUAUGUGAAUAACAUGCAUCAUGGUGCCUCAUCCUGUAGAAGCUUAGUUAACUCAUCCAUAACCAAAACAAAGAGAUAUGGGUUCAAUGCUAACCCUUGAUGUAAGGCUAUUGUCAUUGAAAACUCAUUUGUCGCUCCACUAAUUGUCCUCACACUAAUUAGCACUCCAUUUCACAUAUCUCUCACCAUGUUAAUAUAUCCUUUAGAGACUCCUUUCUUUCUCAACACCUACCACAUUUACUCUCUAGGUAUCCUUCUGUAUGUUUUUUCUAAAUUAAUAAAGACCCCGUGGAGGCAUUGUUUCAAAAAGCAGCCGCCCAGCGUCUGGGCGGCCGCCUAGGCGGAUAUCCUCGAGCGCCCGCCUGAACCUGCCUAGGCGGCCGCCCAGGGCCUGCGCCCCACCUAGGGGCGGAAAUGUGGCUCCUAGAGGGUAUUUUUGGGUCAUUUUUAAUGCUAAAGGGGCAAAAUUGUGGGUUUUAGGUUCAUUUGAAAUCUAAAACCCAUUAGAGGCUAUUUUAGAGAGAGAAAACCCAAAUUUUUUUUUCUACUGGGCUGCCCAGGUUCUGGGCGCCCCCUAGGCUUUGGGCAGCCUGGACCCCCCCGAUCGCUUAGGUGCCGCCUAACGCUUUUUGAAACACUGUGUGGAUGUCUUUUCCCUUCUCUCGGAAAUUCUCAAUCAUCUGCCUAAGUAGGAAAAUAACCUCAAUUGUUGACCUCCCUGGCAUAGAGCUGAACUGAUUCUUUGAUACACUUAUUUCAUGUGUUAGUUACUGCUUAAUCGCUCUCUCCCAUAGCUUCAAAGUGUGGCACACAAGUUUAUACCUUGACAGUUCAUCUCGAUUGUUCAUUUAAAAAGUAAAGGAAUUCAAUUCCCAACAAUAAUUCAUCUGGUAAUGCAUUAUCCCAUUUCGAGAUUUUCGAGUUUUUGUAGAUUGGCUUGAUUUGCACCAUUUUUAGAACUUUAAUUUCAUAAGAUUGUCUGAAAAUAGACAUCUCAUGAGUUUCCAUUAACUAAAAUAUUUGUUUCAUCAUGAUUUGGAGGUACACCUUGCUUCGAUAGUUUAAAUUUCGAGCCUUAUACAAACUGCAUUAUACACGCAAUGCUUACACCCACAAACAAACUGGAGAACAAGUACAAACCAAUGACAAAACACAUGGCGGGCUCCUAGAUAGCCCCUUGCCUAUCAGUAGGCGAGGCGCUAGGGCCUUGGCUUCCCUCAAGGCUCUACAUACAGAGCGGGUGCCUUCUUAAAUGUAGUUCAUGCAUGUGUUUUUCCUUUUGAAGAGGGGGAAGCUUAAGUAAUUAUUCCAUUAUCUGAUUUGGAUGAUGAAUUCAAAUGCGUAAACAAGCAUGCUUUUUGUUCUGUCAAUUACUGGGCGUUACAUUUGAACGUAAUCAUUUUAGAAGUUUCUUUUUUUUUAUAAGUUUGUUGAAUUGUGGUUAAUGACCAAACUUGAAUUUUGGUUAACAUUUGUUAGAGUGAUCAUCAGGUAGCUAUUCUAGUUCACUUUGGACAUUUCCUGAGUCUGUGGUUGCAUUUCCCACAUUGUUCCUCUAUAUGGUUUAAGUCCUUUUAGGUCUUGUGGAUUGGGGAUUCAUCCCAUUUGAUCAAUGUGUUAGAGUUUAUGUUUCGAGGAUGCGAAUAAGCAUGUCACUGUCUGACAUGGUAUGAGUGUCUGAAUCACCAACAUGGUCUAAGUCCUUUUAGACCUGGCAUGACUGUCCACCAUUAAAAGAAUGGGGGAGGUGGGAUCUAAGGUGACGUUUAGUGAGGUGGUGUUAAGUACUUCUAUAGUGAGGUUUCAAGAAAGAAAGGUUAAGAAGAAGUGUAGUAUUUGAAGUUUUGGCAUGGGUGUUGUGUCCUUGGUGUGUCAAUAUGUGCGUAAAACCGUGGACAAUUAUCUCUAUGGUUGCAUAGGUUAGAAAACAUCUGGAGUGAAUUGUUGAUUAUUUUAUCCAAAUUGCUUGUUCCCUAUAAAGAUAUUUGAUUUACUCAAACCGUGGUAAUGUUUGUGCUAUGGCGGUGUAGUUCAUAUCUUCUUUUUUCUGUCUUUUCUUUUUGUAAUGAAGGGGUAAUUAUGCCAUUGUUAUUGUUGCCCUGGGGGCUUAAGUGCCCAAUUUUUAUGGGCUAUAUCUGACCACUCUCUUCAGGCGUGUUUGUAAGAAUGUGUAGAGAUUUUGUUUGAUAUACAUCCCCUGUGAUUGUCCUUUUUGUAUAAAUUGAUCUAGAAAGCUACAUUAUUGUUAGUAUUCAUAUGGGUUGAUAGUUUUCUGACCUUAUGAACUUGGGACCUACUUUGCUUAGGGAACCUCAUGGUUCCCGUAUUUCUGUUUUCUAUAUGUGUUUCAUUUUCUUUCUUUGUAUUUUUGGUAUGCCCCUAAUUUUUUGUACUCUUAUUGUUCUCCUUAUUGAUUCUCGUGUCGCUUUUAAUUGUGCUUAAUGCCCAUAUCUUCAUCCAUGUUGUUAAUGUUCUUUGGUUGGAAACUACAAAUUCCUUUUGUUUGGGUAUUCCUAAAGGGACUCAUUCGCCCCAUGUCAAUGUUCUGUGUUGGAAUGAUGGAUUGGCGAUAUUGAAGGAGGGAGUUGCUUCAUUUUCUAAGAGCUGAAUGAACUCACAAGGACGUAGGAGACCAAAUGAUCCAAGAGGUGCUGCUCUUUAAGCUGUUUUCAUGGUCAACUACAUCUUUGAAACUAUGAGAAGUUAGAAGCUGCUAGUGACUAGAGCUUCCCAUAUGGUUGGGGAUUUCUAGUGUUGGGCAUAAGCAGUGUAGAUAAUGUUAUUCUGGAAUUGAAGCUCAUGCAUUUUUUUCCAUAUCCCCUUCGAUGUUGUUAUGGGUAACAUCCAUUACCAAUAUCUGGGUUCCAUUGAGAAUUAGCUUUGUGUAGCAUGAGCUCUUGACUUCUCAAUCAUUCCAUCUGGUAGAAUUUGGUUGAUAAUGUUGGACCAACGUUGAGGUUUAUAUGGAGAGGCUUUCCGACUAAUCUAAGAUGAUCCAUGUUGUGGCUUCUUUUGUGCUUCAUGCAGAUUCUUACGGCAAUGCUUUAAUAGGUCUCUCUUGUGAUUGGAGAGUUCCUGCAAUUCCCUGGAAAUAUAGUCUUUUAUCUAAAAUUUAAGUAUUUCUUUUGCACUCGGGGUGAAGAUUUUUUUAUGUUCAAAGUUGAUGACUUAUAAUAACUUUAGCAUCUGAAUAGGGUGUAAGAGAUGAUACUGCAGUAUUAGGUUUUUAUCCUAGCUUACUGAUCGUAAAAGUGAAAUUGUGAAUAACUAAAUUGUCCAGUGAAGUUUCCUGGAAAGGCACAUUAUUUUUGUAGCCAUGCCUCAAGGAAUGAGGCUACUUUAGAUCGAUUGUGUGUAUUCUUUAUGGGUCUUUAUUGUUCUAUGGUGGGUGUUUUAGUCAUAAACAGUCAUAUCAUGACAAGGAAUUCGAUGUAGAAGUUCUAUUAACACUUCACUGGCAAGUUUGUCCGAUGUUUUUGCUACUGAUCUGUCUACCUUGUCACUGUUCCAGACAUUUUAGGUAUAGAUGGGGUUGGCGUGCAGAAGAGGCAUCUUGAUAUUUAUACAAAUUUUGUACUUUAUUGGAGUCAUAUCGAGUUCGUAAGAUCAGCUGGUGCAGGACUGUAUGUGGCCUAGCAGUCUGCAAUGUGAAAUCAUGCAUUUGAAGUUCCAACAAAAUUUCAUUUUUGGAUUGCUGUUCUUAAUUGUUCAGUCGGUGUGAAUGGGGACAUAGAUUUUCUCUUCAUGCCAUUUCUCGCAGCAAAGUUUAAUACUGUGGUUUGAUCAUUAGCAACUCACUUUCAUAUGUGAGUCAUUGAUUCGUUGUAGAUUAAACAAUAGCCAUAAAAUAAUGACAAACUCCAAUUGCUUUUGUCACCUAAAUGGCGUAAACAAAUCUUAAAUGAUAAUUGUCACUACAUUGAAAUCAUAUUGUAACA
rnacentral:lncRNA from 1 species